UCGGAGAGUUUGAUCCUGGCUCAGGACGAACGCUGGCGGCGUGCCUAAUACAUGCAAGUCGAGCGAAUCGACGGGAGCUUGCUCCUUGAGAUUAGCGGCGGACGGGUGAGUAACACGUGGGCAACCUGCCUAUAAGACUGGGAUAACUUCGGGAAACCGGAGCUAAUACCGGAUACGUUCUUUUCUCGCAUGAGAGAAGAUGGAAAGACGGUUUACGCUGUCACUUAUAGAUGGGCCCGCGGCGCAUUAGCUAGUUGGUGAGGUAAUGGCUCACCAAGGCGACGAUGCGUAGCCGACCUGAGAGGGUGAUCGGCCACACUGGGACUGAGACACGGCCCAGACUCCUACGGGAGGCAGCAGUAGGGAAUCUUCCGCAAUGGACGAAAGUCUGACGGAGCAACGCCGCGUGAACGAAGAAGGCCUUCGGGUCGUAAAGUUCUGUUGUUAGGGAAGAACAAGUACCAGAGUAACUGCUGGUACCUUGACGGUACC
rnacentral:rRNA from 1 species